AAGAGAUAAGUGCUGAAAGCAUCUAAGCACGAAACUUGCCCCGAGAUGAGUUCUCCCUGAGACUUUAAGUCUCCUGAAGGAACGUUAAAGACGAUGACGUUGAUAGGCCGGGUGUGUAAGCGCAGCGAUGCGUUGAGCUAACCGGUACUAAUGAACCGUGAGGCUUAACCUUAC
rnacentral:rRNA from 1 species